rnacentral:lncRNA from 1 species
AGAGAGACAAGGAAAUGCUGUCACCGCGGUUAACACGCACGUGGAGGGAAGACCUGGGUUUUAGUCCUGUCUCCAUCAACCUCAAGAAAUGGGACCUCAUGGAAGGGAGGGGAGGCAAUGCCGAGGAUGUGCUCCUGAGCAGGUGCCACAAUUCUUCACCUGUAAGAUUGCUGACAGAAAAGUGAGACCUCCUCCACCCCAAGGUCUCCUAAGAGAAUGCUGCUAGCCAAAAAAAGAUCUGCUGAUAAUUGAGGAAGAGCAUCUUUAAAAAGACACUCAACUACAUUUCAGAAACAUAAAGAUCUAAGUGUUGGCUCUACAAGGGAAGAAAUAAAGAGAAAGAACUUUUUUUCCUCCUACAACAGGUCUAGACAACGUCAUACAAGGAGUUGCACGCAUAUCCAAAACAAAAGCAAGGCAAAAACAAGCAAAAAAGCAACAAAUGCAUUCCAAAAUGAUGUCCAUUUAUCAGCCCAGAAAUGUACUGGAUACUGGUUUAGUUCAGCCUGUAGGUGCUGGGAAGAAAUUCCGACAAAUCCAAGUCAGUUGCAAAAAGGGAAAACUCCAGACAUAUCACCCAAUGAACUUGUAAGAAAGCAUAUGAGCUUCCCUGAACAGAUUUUACUCCAGGUUUGCAGCCCGCAAGAUUUAAGAUGGGGCCAUGAGGUUAAAUCUUGUAAACUCAGAAGUGUUCACGCUACUGCAUCCCUAAACUCUGUAACUCUCUACAUACUCUUUAAAGCAGUGUUUCUCUGCAUCUUUCAUUCCAUAGCCAUUGUCCACCUGAUCCAAAAUAUCCUAAGUUUUUCAGUGUUUGGAAGCAGGGUUUCCAAUUUUUGUGUAUACAGAAAAGGGGGGUGUGUGUGAAAAAAUAAGUAUUAGAAAAAAAACAUGUUAUACAUAUCUAUCACAGAAAUGAGUGGGCAAGGUUUAGAAGAUGGCUGAAACCAAGCCAAUACUAAGGUCUACUGGUUGGCUGCAACAAGUUUAAAAUGUCUUCAUAAGGGCCCUGGUUGGGCAAUACUAUACUUGCUGACAGUACUUGGGAUCUGCCACAGACCUAUAGCAAAGGACUGUUCAACUUCUCCAAAAAGCUGGUAUUAACCACCAGAAGAAAUAAGAAGUUCAAGGCCAAAAUAUCCAAAUGAACCAACCACUCUACUUGCUGAAAUGCCAUAAAGCUUCUUUACCCCAGACAUUUGCCCAAAUCUUAUAAUUUCUUUUCUCCUCUCUGACAGGCCUCUCCAGAGGCCCAAACUUUAAUAGAAUCUGAGAGAAAAAAGUGGCCAGUCUAUCUGCUGUCCAGAGUGAUGCCAAACUCUUUCUCCCGGAGCCAGUUCUCCCCGUUGGGCAGUCAGGUGAGGAUCCGAUUAUUAACAAACUCUACUUGGGUCUCCUUGGCAAAGAGUUUCUGGCUUCAGCAGCCUAGCUCAGGGGGGUUCAUAAUUAUGUCAGACUCGCUUUUUUUCUUGUAGUUGCUUUUAACCAAAGAGGUUAAGCCUCUGUACAACCAAGAGGAAGAACUAGAAUUAGAAAACUUACCAAUCGUCCCAGCCAAUGAUAAUCCAUUUCCAACAGGUAUUAACGCCUGUUAGAAGCCACUGGAACACUGACAUCAUCAGCCCAAUUGAUAGGUUGUCUGAUAGAUUCGCCCC